AGGAGUUAAAACAAGAUAUUUCCAGCUUUCGUUUUGAAGUCCUGGGUUUGUUAAAAGGAAGCAAGCUGUCUAAUUUGCAGACUGCAAAGAUGAACAAGGACACUGCCUCUCCUUCAGAAAAUGAAGAAAAUAGUGAGGGUGAAGGAAACAAGAAAGGAAAGAAAAAGACCUUCAGCCUGUUUGACAUAACAACAAUGAUACACCCAAGAUCAGCCACUAUUGCCUCUGAAACACAUAAUGUAAGCAACGGCUCAGCAAUGAUGGUGUCAGAGUCCACUAAGGAGAAACAAAAGCGUGUGAAUUUUGUGACAGACAUAAAAAAUUUUGGGUUAUUUCACAGACGAUCAAAAACAAACUCUGUGGAGCAGAGUACAAAUAAAAUAUAUACCGUUUCUGAAGAAGUUUCCCGUCAACAGGCAGAAGAACAAUGUGAGAAAACUGCUGAACUGGAAGAGGGAGAACUGACCAUGAACUGUGAAUUAAACAUCCAAAGUCCUGACGAAAAAUGCGUGUUAGCUGAGUCACAAAAUAACAGCGACUCUUCAGAUUCACAGGAAGAGGGAAGUAUUUGUGCUUCAGAAACAGAGAAAAUGGAGUUAGAGAACUCAGAACAAGCCACACUGCAGGAUCAGCUGGACAAGGAGUUGGACAUUAGCAUUGACUGUGAUGGGAAACAGGAAACAGUUGAUCAGGGUGAUUAUGUGAUAACAAGGUUGUGAUGCUUACAGGAGGAAGCAUUUACAAAUAUAUAUAUUUUGCAUAGUGCUUUGGGGGGGGUGUUUUAAGAAUUAUAUUAGCAAAUGCAGAAUUACACUUUAUAGUACUCAGCUGUGGCACAUGAUCUUGUAACAUAGUAAAGAGAAAGAUAAUACGGGGACCUUCUG